rnacentral:misc_RNA from 1 species
AAGUCGUAACAAGGUCUCCGUAGGUGAACCUGCGGGAGGAUCAUACGAGGUGCAGGGUGCCCGGCGCCGACCUCCAACCCUUUGUUUUGACCAACACCUCAGUUGCCUCGGGGGUGACCCGGCCCUCGCGGGUCCGGGGCCCCCCGUGGACCACACAUCAACGCUGCAUCUCUGCGUCGGAGUCAUUGACGCGAAUUCAAUCAAAA